UACGGAGGAUCCAAGCGUUAUCCGGAUUUAUUGGGUUUAAAGGGUGCGUAGGCGGCCUGUUAAGUCAGGGGUGAAAGACGGUAGCUCAACUAUCGCAGUGCCCUUGAUACUGAUGGGCUUGAAUGUACUAGAGGUAGGCGGAAUGUGACAAGUAGCGGUGAAAUGCAUAGAUAUGUCUCAGAACACCGAUUGCGAAGGCAGCUGUCUAAACAUGGAUUGACACUGAUGCACGAAAGCGUGGGGAUCAAACAGG
rnacentral:rRNA from 1 species